ACUACUGAAGCCUGAAUAGAUACGAAAAUAUCUCCAUUAAGAAGUUUCAAACCCACUGAACCAGACUGAAACUGAUGACUUGAUCGUGAUAUUUGUCAAGUUAAUGUCUAAAGACUUUCGUCUGUGAAAGAUAGUGAAACAGCUAUGCAAAUUUAUGCAUAAAAAUAAAAAUCCCAUAUGUGCCUAGAGGGAGAGGUUUCCAGCCAAAAUGCUAAUGAUAUGACAUAAUAAUACUUAACAUUUCUAUAGAUUUUAAUUCAAAGAGCUCAAAAUGUACUACAAAUAUCUACUAAAUGAGAAUAAGCCAUAUUGUCUUCCUG
rnacentral:lncRNA from 1 species